GACGAACGCUGGCGGCGUGCUUAACACAUGCAAGUCGAACGGAAAGGCCCUGCUUUUGUGGGGUGCUCGAGUGGCGAACGGGUGAGUAACACGUGAGUAACCUGCCCUUGACUUUGGGGUAACUUCAGGAAACUGGGGCUAAUACCGGAUAGGAGCUCCUGCUGCAUGGUGGGGGUUGGAAAGUUUCGGCGGUUGGGGAUGGACUCGCGACUUAUCAGCUUGUUGGUGGGGUAGUGGCUUACCAAGGCUUUGACGGGUAGCCGGCCUGAGAGGGUGACCGGCCACAUUGGGACUGAGAUACGGCCCAGACUCCUACGGGAGGCAGCAGUGGGGAAUAUUGCACAAUGGGCGGAAGCCUGAUGCAGCAACGCCGCGUGCGGGAUGACGGCCUUCGGGUUGUAAACCGCUUUCGCCUGUGACGAAGCGUGAGUGACGGUAAUGGGUAAAGAAGCACCGGCUAACUACGUG
rnacentral:rRNA from 1 species